GUAUACAGCUACGAUGAAUUAUCUGCCUGGCUUUUCCAUUGAGACCUGGGCCCUUCUAAUUGCAUUGCUGACCCUCCUGAUACCGUCUCCUAGGUUCUGGCUUUGUGACUUCUCAACUUUAACACCAAAGUCAACAGGAAAAGAAAAACUCCCAUUAACUUCAGUCAUUUUAAGGACCCAGCAAGACUGGGCUUUCUGCCCCAUGGACACUACAGUGGGAAGAGAAGCAUGGGAGGCACGGCUGGGAUGGGGUCUAAGCCCCAAGCAGAGCCAAGAAAGUGAUGGCAGCCGGCGACCUGGAGAUCCACCUGGUUUGGCCCAGGAAGCAACAGCACAGGGAAGCAAGGGGAGACGCGGAGAAGAAAAGUUGCCUUCACAAGCGUGAAGAUGAGAUGCACGUGAAAGUAUCCUUGGAACAACACAAUAACUCAAGCUCCUUUUUUGCCUCCUCUCACAUAUGGCCUGAUGCAGAUGGACUAUCUCGACACGACAGUAAAUGAAACCCUCAGGCUGUUCCCUGUGGGAGGACGAAUUGAAGAAAAAUGCCUGUAAGAAAAAUGUAGAUGUAAAUGGAAUGACCAUCCUAAAAGACACGGUGGUUCCCACCCUUUGUCCUGCAGUGUGACCCAGAAGACUGGCCAGAAACGGGAUUGCUCAGGCCUGAAAGGUCAAGAACAGAUCUUGAUAGAGAAAAACCAAAUGCCUCUGUCUCAUGCAUAUUAGAAAUUCAUUCCUAUAGAAUUUGUUAGUAAAGCUUGGAAAGGGUUCAGUAUUGUGGAAGAAGUGCCACUUGCUGUUUCACAGUGAAAUCUGACUUGAGUUUUGCACUUAAAGCAAGGAUUUAGCUACUUUGCUACAUACGAAGAUGACUAGGCAUCCUUUGCAAAACUGUGGAGUGCUCUUGGAGUCCUUUUGUACUCCUCAAGUACAAAACGAACUUUCUGAGAACUUGCAGAAGUUAAAAUAAGUUCAAAGAGAAAUUUAGAACGGUGUAGGGACCAGGAUCGGGGCAGCCAGGGCUUGAGACCUGGGAGUCAGGGUGAAGGUGGAAAAGCCAACCCAGGUUCAAAAGCCAGGGGUCUGACCUCAAGUCAUGAGCCAGGGGAUCAGGUCUAGAAAGGCAUUCAGGCUGACACAAGCCUAAGCAAGGGACACAUCUUUACGGCUGAGUAUCCCGCAAAAACCGAAAGAGCUGCUGCUUAUAUGCAGGCAGCCAUGCCCAUGCAGGUAACUGAGGCCAGCCGGCGGUAAUUAGGCAGCUGGAAGCCAGGCAUAGGCCGGUAGCCAGCCUGCCCAUUACCCUGGCUCCUACUGGGUACCACUGGUAGACUCUUUCUGUCCCAAAUGACUUUAACAUUGCACAACUUCCCAUACAGCUAAAAGUGAAAGAAAUCUUGGAAUCAGUUAAAUUUAAAAGGCAGGGUUUUUUUUUUAAUUAUAGUCAAAAUUUUACGAACAAACUCCAAAUCUGAAUGUUUUUCCCUUAUGGAAGGACUUUGCUACAGAAUAGUCUACAGGGAGCUGCCCUCUUUCAAAACUGAUGCUGUCUUCCAUUGUUUUCAGUGGGUCUGAGGAAGUAAUUUGUUCACGGCAAGGUGCCCGUUUUGAACAUGGUACCCGCCUAUCUCCAUGUGUAAUGGGACUGAAGUCACAAGCUGCUCUAAACCAAAUGGCUGCUGCCUUGACUUUUAUUGGAAACAAUGGAAAGGAAGAGAUGGUCAUUUUGAAAGAGGAAGCUUCACUGUUGCUUCCAGGCAUUCAUUGCUUUAGGGCAAAUGAUGACACUUUGACCUUGAUUUUAUAUUCCCCUUCCAGUACCAUGGGGGCUACACCAUCAUUAGACUGCUAGGUUGUCUAGAUGUGCGAGGUCUUAAAGCAGACCGUGCUUCUUUAACACACAGUCAAGAAGCAACUCAACUAAACAAAAGUGUGACCUUUUUUUUCUUUGCAUUGCUUUUCACUGGACACAUUCAAUAAAGAGAAAAAUCAGCCCUGGAUCCAUAUGCA